GAGUAUCAUGCCCUCACGGGUAGAUCUCCACCCUUGAAUAACAUACCUCUGUUGCUUUGGCAGGCACUCAACAGCCGAGGCCGCUGGAAAUGGGGCCUGCCAGAGGACCACAACUCUUGUUUUUAGUGAUGUCUGAGUACUAUAUAAUAGUUAAAACUUUCAACAACGGAUCUCUUGGUUCU
rnacentral:misc_RNA from 1 species